rnacentral:rRNA from 1 species
UAGGGAAUCUUCCGCAAUGGACGCAAGUCUGACGGAGCAACGCCGCGUGAGUGAAGAAGGAUUUCGGUUCGUAAAACUCUGUUGUUAGAGAAGAACAGCGCAUAGAGUAACUGUUAUGCGUGUGACGGUAUCUAAUCAGAAAGCCACGGCUAACUACGUGCCAGCAGCCGCGGUAAUACGUAAGGUCCGAGCGUUGUCCGGAAUCAUUGGGCGUAAAGGGUACGUAGGCGGGUAAGCAAGUUAGAAGUGAAAUCCUGUAGCUAAACUACAGUAAGCUAUUAAAACUGCUCAUCUUGAGAUGUAGAAGGGAAAGUGGAAUUCCUAGUGUAGCGGUAAAAUGCACAGAUAUUAGGGGGAAUACCGGUGGCGGAGGCGACUUUCUGGCCAUAAUCUGACGCUGAGGUACGAAAGCGUGGGUAGCAAACAGG